GGUAAAUCAGGUGUUUAGUAUGUGGUCAGGUAAAUCAGGUGUUUAGUAUGUGGUCAGGUAAAUCAGGUGUUUAGUAUGGGGUCAGGUAAAUCAGGUGUUUAGUAUGUGGUCAGGUAAAUCAGGUAUUUAGUAUGUGGUCAGGUAAAUCAGGUGUUUAGUAUGUGGUCAGGUAAAUCAGGUGUUUAGUAUGUGGUCAGGUAAAUCAGGUGUUUAGUAUGUGGUCAGGUAAAUCAGGUGUUUAGUAUGUGGUCAGGUAAAUCAGGUGUUUAGUAUGUGGUCAGGUAAAUCAGGUGUUUAGUAUGUGGUCAGGUAAAUCAGGUGUUUAGUAUGGGGUCAGGUAAAUCAGGUGUUUAGUAUGUGGUCAGGUAAAUCAGGUGUUUAGUAUGUGGUCAGGUAAAUCAGGUGUUUAGUAUGUGGUCAGGUAAAUCAGGUGUUUAGUAUGGGGUCAGGUAAAUCAGGUGUUUAGUAUGUGGUCAGGUAAAUCAGGUGUUUAGUAUGUGGUCAGGUAAAUCAGGUGUUUAGUAUGUGGUCAGGUAAAUCAGGUGUUUAGUAUGUGGUCAGGUAAAUCAGGUGUUUAGUAUGUGGUCAGGUAAAUCAGGUGUUUAGUAUGUGGUCAGGUAAAUCAGGUGUUUAGUAUGUGGUCAGGUAAAUCAGGUGUUUAGUAUGUGGUCAGGUAAAUCAGGUGUUUAGUAUGUGGUCAGGUAAAUCAGGUGUUUAGUAUGGGGUCAGGUAAAUCAGGUGUUUAGUAUGUGGUCAGGUAAAUCAGGUGUUUAGUAUGUGGUCAGGUAAAUCAGGUGUUUAGUAUGUGGUCAGGUAAAUCAGGUGUUUAGUAUGGGGUCAGGUAAAUCAGGUGUUUAGUAUGUGGUCAGGUAAAUCAGGUGUUUAGUAUGUGGUCAGGUAAAUCAGGUGUUUAGUAUGUGGUCAGGUAAAUCAGGUGUUUAGUAUGGGGUCAGGUAAAUCAGGUGUUUAGUAUGUGGUCAGGUAAAUCAGGUGUUUAGUAUGUGGUCAGGUAAAUCAGGUGUUUAGUAUGGGGUCAGGUAAAUCAGGUGUUUAGUAUGUGGUCAGGUAAAUCAGGUGUUUAGUAUGUGGUCAGGUAAAUCAGGUGUUUAGUAUGGGGUCAGGUAAAUCAGGUGUUUAGUAUGUGGUCAGGUAAAUCAGGUGUUUAGUAUGUGGUCAGGUAAAUCAGGUGUUUAGUAUGUGGUCAGGUAAAUCAGGUGUUUAGUAUGGGGUCAGGUAAAUCAGGUGUUUAGUAUGUGGUCAGGUAAAUCAGGUGUUUAGUAUGUGGUCAGGUAAAUCAGGUGUUUAGUAUGUGGUCAGGUAAAUCAGGUGUUUAGUAUGUGGUCAGGUAAAUCAGGUGUUUAGUAUGUGGUCAGGUAAAUCAGGUGUUUAGUAUGUGGUCAGGUAAAUCAGGUGUUUAGUAUGUAG